rnacentral:rRNA from 1 species
AGUGAACGCUGGCGGUAGGCCUAACACAUGCAAGUCGAACGGCAGCACAGUAAGAGCUUGCUCUUACGGGUGGCGAGUGGCGGACGGGUGAGGAAUACAUCGGAAUCUACUUUUUCGUGGGGGAUAACGUAGGGAAACUUACGCUAAUUCCGCAUACGACCUACGGGUGAAAGCAGGGGAUCUUCGUACCUUGCGCGAUUGAAUGAGCCGAUGUCGGAUUAGCUAGUUGGCGGGGUAAAGGCCCACCAAGGCGACGAUCCGUAGCUGGUCUGAGAGGAUGAUCAGCCACACUGGAACUGAGACACGGUCCAGACUCCUACGGGAGGCAGCAGUGGGGAAUAUUGGACAAUGGGCGCAAGCCUGAUCCAGCCAUACCGCGUGGGUGAAGAAGGCCUUCGGGUUGUAAAGCCCUUUUGUUGGGAAAGAAAAGCAGCAGGUUAAUACCCCGCUGUUCUGACGGUACCCAAAGAAUAAGCACCGGCUAACUUCGUG